CUUUCUCUCUUUUCGGGGCCGGUCUCGUGGCUGGAAGACAUGGCGGCCUCAGGCUGGUCCGAGCUAGGCCAGCAACCUCGGACCUUUGGCGGCGGCCUUUGUUUGGCAUCUGCAGAGACGGUGAGAAGCCGACGUGCACGUUGAAGCUUAAAACUAGCGAAUGGAACCCUGAAAUGAGUAAGAAUGGAUGCAGGCAAGACCUGGGUGGGCACCAGAAGUGGGAAAGGUUAAAGAUGUUGGCUGUGGACUUGGAAAAAAGUCACAUGAAAACCAUCAUCCAGAGAUACUGAGUGUAAGGAUCUUCGUGAUGAAAUUUCUCUAAAAGGUACAGUCUCAGCCUCAGUUUGAGGCCGAAAAGGAUGCUCCAGAACAAGACGCUAACUAGCAGCAGUGCCGUUUCAGCUGCCCUGGACCCGAGGCGGAAUUUCUCUCGUGUGUGUAAUAGAGAAGAUCUUUGGAACAGGCUUGGGUGGAGUGUUCUUUUUGCUUCCCCUGUCCUGGCCUUUUGAGUUGUGCUGAGUGACAGGGAGACUUUGACAUAGGUUUGUUUUCUUCGCUAGGUGUCUGCAGUGAGUGAGACAGAAUUGAACUGCUUUGCCUGAAGCAAGUGAAAUGAUGAUUCUUCUCCUGUUGUUUGUAAGCUUUCUCUUUCCAUCUUACAUGUCCCAAAGAAGCCCCACAAGCCUAUGAUGGUUAGUUAUCCCUGUCUGAAAAUCUCAACUGAGGGAAAACAAUCUGUUCUGAGGCUUAAGAGGCUGGCCCUGUGCUCUUAAAAGAAGUUUAGGCUGCAUAAGGGAUCGCACUGAAUGGACUCCAAAGGGAAUUGUGCAUACCAUGCCAAGACCCCAGUCCUAAUGCAUCAUCCCUCUGCAGCUUGAAAACCAGUAGUGUGGCUGUCCUGUCACACUUUAGGCCCCUUGAUUAAUGGCUCUGAGGGCGCAGGCUAUAAGAGGUGGCAGAAAUGGGCAAGUGGCCCAGAUUUGGUUUAUACUCUUACUGUGGAAUGAAAGAGUGCUUGUCACAUAUUUCAAGAAAAUGAAUGCGCUGUUUGAAACAGACGGGAAUGGCAGAUGUAUGCCAGCUGUGGCAGUGAGAACACUUCAGGACUAUCUGACCUCUUGCCCUUGCACCGUAUCCUGACAUUCACGAAAGACGGUGUACAGUGGCACUAGCAGAGCGAUUUGGUUUCCAGGUGCUUUGUUAACACCAGGGAGCUCUCCUGGCGUUAGCUCAGCUCUGUCUGAAUGGCACGGCUGGCAUGUGCGCAAGAGAGUAGCAAAGUGGCGCUGGGCUUUGUUCCCAUUUAAAUGCCAGGCUUGAACUGGACACAGAUUGACUUUCUUUUCUGUUGAAGCUGGGAGGUGUGUGCAGCUCUUUAUACGUAAGGUCACAUAUUUGUUCGGUCACCAAGGAAGCUAUAUUUGGAGUGAGAUUUAAAGAGCCUGAAAACCGGUCCAAGCAGCUUAUAGCUGGAAGUAAAACAAAGCGAAAGGACAUGUUAGCAAGUGGGAAAGUCUACCUGCUGGGUUAUAGUCUGCUUCUGAGUGGACUUGACUGCUCUGUGGGACCCAAGUGAACCUGUAGGUUUGUUUCUGUUUUUGUUUUUUUAAGCUGCACCGCACAGCUUGUGGGAUCUUAAGGGCUUGAACCCUGGCCCUUGGCAGUGAGAGUGAUGAGUCCUAACCACUGGACCGCCAGGGAAUUCCCGAACCUGUAGGUUUGACUCCAGAGGGGGGUUGAAUAUAAAUGUCGCCAGCACUUCAUGGCUGCUCUUCACUGGUACUGGCCACUUGCCAGAUUCUGCUCCCUCAGAUCCCAGUCUCCCGAAAAGGAGAGUCAUCUGGGACCUACCAGGCUGCACUGAAUUGAUCUGGUUGUGCCUUCCACACACACACACAUGCACACACACACGCAUAAUGAUUGACUGCUUAGAAUGAGUUCCUCUAGGGUUACCAAUUUUUAUAUUAGUUUUUUCUUUGAAUUUAACCUUCAGUUUUGAGUCUCUUAGUUGGCUGCUGCAUCAAAUGAUUCUUUGGUUUUAUAGGUUGCCUCCCAGUGAUGCCAGAUGGGAUCAGCACAGCCCCAGGUGCUAGUUGCUAAUGCCUAUAAAAUACCCUCCCCCACCAAAGGAGAAUCAUUUAAGAGUUCUUUGGACUUCGUCUUCAAAAGUAGUCAAAGAAUUCAAGUAACAGGGUAUCCCAGAAAAUUGUUUGCAGUUAGUGAAAUUAGGGUAUAAAUAAGAACAUUCAGAAUACUACACACAUAGUUUAGGUGAUCUUGGUAUAGUGGUGGGACAGCAGUGAUUAUAAAAUUAAGUAAUUAACAUGUGCAUGCUCUGUUGGGGGAGACUGACGGGAAAGAGGUGUUCAGCCUAGAAAAACAUUUCUCAGUGGAUUUCCUAUGAAGUCAAUGUGUCUUGGGUUUAACUUUGAAACAAAUUAAAAAAUUUAAAAACUGA